rnacentral:rRNA from 1 species
GCCAGCAGCCAUAUCACCCUGAGGCUCACAGCUGGCAGCCCACUGAAGCUCAGCAGGUGUGAGCCUGGUCAGUCCCUGGAUGGGAGACCUCUGGGAAAAACUAGGGUUGCUGCUGGAA